rnacentral:rRNA from 1 species
UACGGAGGAUGCGAGCGUUAUCCGGAUUUAUUGGGCGUAAAGCGCGUGUAGGCGGUUUUAUAAGUCUGAUGUGAAAGCCCCGGGCUCAACCUGGGAAGUGCAUUGGAAACUGUAAGACUUGAGUACGGGAGAGGGCAGUGGAAUUCCUAGUGUAGGAGUGAAAUCCGUAGAUAUUAGGAGGAACACCGGUGGCGAAGGCGGCUGCCUGGACCGAUACUGACGCUGAGACGCGAAAGCGUGGGUAG